rnacentral:rRNA from 2 species
CUGACGAGGGGCGGACGGGUUAGUAAUGUCUGGGAAACUGCCUGAUGGAGGGGGAUAACUACUGGAAACGGUAGCUAAUACCGCAUAACGUCGCAAGACCAAAGAGGGGGACCUUCGGGCCUCUUGCCAUCUGGAUGUGCCCAGAUGGGAUUAGCUAGUAGGUGGGGUAACGGGCUCACCUAGGCGACGAUCCCUAGCUGGUCUGAGAGGAUGACCAGCCACACUGGAACUGAGACACGGUUCCAGACUCCUACGGAAGGGCAAGCAGUGGGGGGAAUAAUUGCACAAUGGGCGCAAGGCCUGAUGCAGCCAUGCCGCGUGUAUUGAAAGAAGGCCUUCGGGUUGGAAAAAGUACUUUUCAGCGGGGAGGAAGGGAGUAAAAGUUAAUACCUUUGCUCAUUGGACGGUACCGCAGAAGAAGCACCGGCUAACUCCGUGCCAGCAGC